UAUAUAGUGAUCUGUGGAUAAUUUGUAACAAAUUAAUUUCCCUAGCGUAUUAGUUUCCAUGUUAAAAAUAAAUAAAUAAUUAAUUAUGAAUAACAAAAUACUAUGUAGGAUUUGUUUGACCCAUUCUGUUGAUCAUACAAAUAUGUUUAAUAUUUUCUCAAAAGAAGACAAAGUGAUGAUUUCUACGAAAUUAAUGCUCAUCGCAAAAAUAGAGAUUUAUUCAGAUGAUGGUUUACCUACCAUGAUAUGUUCUAAGUGCCUUACACUUCUAAACAAUUGUCUCGACUUCAUUGAUUUGUGUCGAGUGUCUGACCAACAACUACGGGCUUCCCUCAAAAAUAAGUUGGAACUAACUAAUCAUCAGACUGACACAUAUGAUUCUGUAAAUAGUGAUGAUGAUUCCAUGAAAAUUGAACAGAACUCCACAGAUGAGGGCACAAUUUAUGAUAGUAAAGUUAUAGCUAAAAUUCCAAAAAAUAUUGAUAAAAAGAAGAGAGGAAAAAAGCAACAAUGCUCUAUUUGUGGGAGAGUCAUGUCAUCAUCAUAUCGACUCAAAACACACUUGGUUACACACUCUGGAACUCGUCCGUAUUCUUGUCCCCACUGUGGAAAACAUUUCUCGCUUCCAGAGAACCUCAAAGUUCACCUAAGGACUCAUACAGGUGAAAAGCCACUUAGUUGUUUGAUAUGUGGCGAAUCUUUCGCCCAAUCUUCAGGGCUGAUAGCCCACAGGAGGAAACAUACUGGACAGCUGCCAUACCAAUGUAAACUAUGUCCACGCAGUUUUCGAACAAUAGGACAUUUGCAGUAUCAUACAAAAAGACACACGGGUGAAAAGAAAUUCGAAUGCGACACAUGCGGUCGAGGGUUCAUCACGCGAGGUGACUUGAAGCAGCACAUAGCAACCCACACGGGUGAUCGCUCUCAUGUCUGCACUAUAUGCGGCCUGCGACUUACUCGGGCUUCCAACCUCAAGAGACACAUUCACCAGUUACAUAGUCGCGCUGAAACUACCUUUAGCAACUCGAAGACUGAAAAAGAUAAUCAAAUAAUACGUAACGAUAGGUUUAAAGAGACAGAAGCAAAAUAAAUUCACAUUAUUUAAAUUAGAAUUU